GUCUAGUCUGCCCACUGAAUUUAAUUUUUAAUGGCCGCAGUAUUUUGACUGUGCAAAGGUAGCAUAAUCAUUAGUUUUUUAAUUAAAAGCUUGUAUGAAAGGCUGGACGAGGUAGAAUCUGUCUCUAUUUAAAUUAAAGUAGAAUUUAAUUUUUAAGUUAAAAAGCUUAAAUGUUAUUAAAAGACGAGAAGACCCUAUAGAUCUUUAUAAUUUAUUAAAUGAAAUUAAUUUAGAAUUAUUUAUUUUUUAUUUUAAUAAAUUAUUUUAUUGGGGUAAUAGAAAGAUUAAAUUAAUUCUUUUUUGUAAUAAACAUUGAUUUAUGAAUAUUAAAUGAUCCAGUUUUACUGAUUAUAAGAUUAAGUUACCUUAGGGAUAACAGCGUAAUUUUUUUAGAGAGUUCAUAUCGAUAAAAAAGUUUGCGACCUCGAUGUUGGAUUAAAGAUUAUUUUAGGUGUAGAAGCUUAAUAAUUUUGGUCUGUUCGACCAUUAAAUCUUUACAUGAUCUGAGUUCAGACCGGUGUAAGCCAGGUCGGUUUCUAUCUUUAAUAAAAUAAAAUAUUUUAGUACGAAAGGACCAAAUAUUAAAUAUAUUUAUAUUUAAUUUAUUGAAUAUUAUUAAAGUUGAAAUUAUUUUGGCAGAUUAGUGCAAUGAAUUUAGAAUUCAUUUAUGUAAUUUAUUUACAAAUAAUACUUGUUUUAUAUAGAUAUUGUUUUUUCUUUAGUAUGUAUAUUAUUAUUAAUUAUUUGUGUUUUAGUGGGGGUUGCUUUUUUAACUUUAUUGGAACGAAAGGUCUUAGGUUAUAUUCAAAUUCGUAAGGUCCUAAUAAAGUGGGAUUUAUAAG
rnacentral:rRNA from 1 species